AAUUUUCAGCCUCUUCUUUAUCCAGGAAACAUGGAAUAACUAUGGUUAUUACACUCUGAAGUUAAACGCUAAGCCAGAAAGUCUUGCUUUUCUUCUAACAAAGAGGAAGGGUCUCUGCAUACUGCCCUGGAACCAAGAAUGUGCUAGAGAAAAUGAAAGAUGGUUCCUGGUGUCUCAGGAGGGAGAAUGUUAGCAAAUAAGAAAGUGUGUUGAUGGGGACCCUGUGGAUAGAAAUGGUACAUGGACAUGAGAGAGUCUGUAUGGUUCUAGUGUGCUUGGAACUCUCUAUGUAGACAAGGACGGCCUUGAACUCAGAGAGAUCUCCUUGGUUCUGCCACUUGUGUGCAUGAGUCCUUGGAGGCCAGGAGAAGAUGUGGAAUCCGAGGUUCAAUAUCCUAUCCAAGACAGGAGAGUGGAGAGCCAAAGUGGGACUUGACUCAGUCAGUCUCAAGCCAACACAGUGGAGAUGCAGCUUUGCCUCUAAGUGUCGCACUAUUUAACUCCUUUCGGGUAUGGGGGAUUGAACCCAGAACCUCCUGGAUGCUAGACCAUUGAACUUAAUUCCCAGCCUUUAAGUGUUUCAUUAUUAAAUAUAUUUUUUGUCAAGGA
ensembl:lincRNA Gm11368 predicted gene 11368